GGUUCUAUAGUAUAGUGGCUAUCACUUGAGAUUCUGAUAUUCGUGCUUGCAACAAUUGGUCAAUAUUCUCAGAACCCCGGUUCAAUCCCGGGUAGGACCU